CGAGAUCUGUGAUCUCCACGGGAUUUGGAGCUGCUUUAACCAUAGACUCUUUUAGAGGGUGGGCGCCAUUUUUUCUCUCUCUCGCAUACCUUCUCUUCCAAUGCACAGAAACAUCAGUUGGAAAGGCCUGCAUUUUCCCGUAUGCUGGGGACAGAAAAUCGCCUUCAUGUCUGACUCUGGGGUUGGUGCUCAUCUCCAUUUCUAAGCUGAAGAGCCGGCGUUGUCCGUAGACACCUCCAAGGUCAUGUGGCCGGCAUGACUGCCUAGAAUACAGGUUGUGGUGUACUAAUAGUGGAGACAAUUCUCAAUGAAGACAGAAGUGGGCCUUUACCAGCCCACAUCUACUCCAUAAUGAUGCUGAUUGUCUUAGAAGGAAAAGAAUGGACCAUAUCCGAGCACAAUACACUCCUUGGUGCAGCUGGAUUCAAGGAUAUUCAGUUCAAGAAAGGACAAGUCUAUAGUGUCAUUUAUGGAAGAAAAUAAAACAUCUCUCUUUAAUUUCACUUCAGUAGAGUCUCACUUAUCUAAGCUUCACUUAUCCAAGGUUCUGUAUUAUCCAAGGCAGCCUGCCUUUUAGUAGUUAUUGUUUUUGUAGUAAAUGUUGCAAUGUUUUGGUGCUAAAUUCGUAAAUACAGUAAUUACUACAUAACAUUACUGUGUAUUGAACUGCUUUUUCUGUCAAUUUGUUGUAAAACAUGAUGUUUUGGUGCUUAAUUUGUAAAUUCGUAAUGUAAUUUGAUGUUUAAUAAACUUUUCCUUAAUCCCUCCUUAUUAUCCAACAUUUUCACUUAUCCAGUGUUCUGCCAGCCCGUUUAUGUUAGAUAAGCGAGACUCUACUGUAUUAUUUCACUGUUAAAGUAUUAUUGUCAUGAAAUUCCAAAUACUCUGUGUAUGUUUGUGUGGAUGUGCCUUCAAGUCGCCUGUAGACUAUGGCAAACAUAUGAAUUUCUUAGAUUUUUCUUGGUCAAAGAAUACUCAAGAUGGCUUUGCUUCACUGUGGUUCUCAACCUGUGGGUCCUCAGAUGUUUUGGCCUUCAACUCCCAGAAAUCCUAACAGCUAAUAAACUGGCUGGGAUUUCUGGGAGUUGUAGGCCAAAACACCUGGAGACAUACAUGUUGAGAACCACUGAUCUAAAAUAUUUGUUUAUUUAAUUAAUUUAUAUACCGCUCUUCUCCCCCAGGGGACCCAAAUAUAAGAUACAUCACCUUGUAUUCAUUGACGGUCUCCCAUCUGUACAUACCAACCAUCUCAGAUGCAGAAACCCUAUUUGCACUAAUAUCCAGCCACCCUCACAUAGGAGACGUCUCUGUGGUUCCACUUCUCACCCUCACAUUGACUUCUCUCCACUUUUGUGCUGUCCUCCCUGCAUAGUUUCCCUUUCCCCCUCGUUCCCCAUCAUGUUCACUCACCUCAGUCUGCUGAAUGAAAUGGACAGGAUACCACCUAUUUUGACAAGGCACUGGAAGUUGCAAGAGGUCACCAUAUACUGGUUACAGAAAGUGAAUUUUUGUUGAAUGCCCAGUGUUGUCUGCCUUCUCUGCUAUCUUGUACUAAUAUUCUGCGCAUACAUAGGCAAAAGCCAUGCUCAGCACUUCCCUCAACAAAGAAAGAAGCAAAAAGGUGGAGUGGGUUGCAGAGGAAACAAGUGCAGUGCACUGUCACACCCCACUGAUUUUCAAGUUUUGAUUAAGGUCAGGAAACCAGAAGAGACACAGGGGAUGCUGCUUCCCUCGCCCAUAAUAUUACAACACCUUUUUAUUUAACAGGAGCAAGAUCUGUUGAGUUCAAUAAGACCUAACUUCAGUUCCAACUAAAUGUGCAUAUAAGGUGGAAGUCAUGGAGUUGCUGGAUUGCAGCUCCUAUCAGCUCUAUCCAGAUUACGCAAUGGAGAACUGUGCUGGGAGAUGUGUUGUCGAAGGCUUUCAUGGCCGGGAUCACAGGGUUGUUGUGUGUUUUCCAGGCAGUAUGGCCAUGUUCCAGAAGUGUUCUCUCCUGACGUUUCGCCCACAUCUAUGGCAGGCAUCCUCAGAGGUUGUGAGGUAUAUAGAGAAACUAAGCAAGGAAAGUUUAUAUAUCUGUGGAAGAUUCUGGGAUCCUUGUCUGUUGGAGGCCAGAGUGAAUGUUAUAAUUAAUCACCUUGAUUAGCAUUAACUGGCCUUCCCAGCUUCACCUCCUGGCCUGGGGAAAUCCUUUGUUCGGAGGUGUUAGCUGGCCCUGAUUGAUUCAUAUCUGGAAUUCUUCUGUUUUCAGAGUGUUGCUCCUUAUUUACUGUUCUGAUUUUGGAGUUUUUUAGUACUGGUAGCCAGAUUUUGUUCAUUAUCAUGGUUUCCUCCUUUCUGUUGAAAUUGUCCACAUGCUUGUGGAUUUCAAUGGCUUCUCUGUGUAGUCUGACAUGAUAGUUGUUGGAGUGGUCGAGCAUUUCUGUGUUCUCAAAUAAUAUACUGUGUCCAGGUUGGUUUAUCAAGUUCUCUGCUAUGGCUGAUUUCUCAGUUCCUUUCAUGUUCUUUGACUCAUGUUUGGGCAAUGCUGCGUUUGGUGGUCCCUAUGUAGACUUGUCCACAGCUGCAUGGUAUAUGGUAGACUCCUGCAGAGGUAAGAGGAUCCCUCUUGUCCUUUGCUGAAUUUGUUGCAUUUUCUUAGUGGGUCUGUAGAUAGUUUGUAGCUUGUGUUUUUUCAUCAGUUUGCCUAUGCGGUUAGUAGUUCCCUUGAUGUAUGGUAAGAACACCUUUCCUCUGGGUGGAUCUUUAUCUUUACUCUCAUGGCUUGUUCUUAGCUUUACAGCUCUUCUGAUGUCCAUGAUGGAGUAUGAUAAUCUGGAUUAUAUGGCAGUGUAGAUGGGUCUCAGUCUAAGGGGAAAACCCCUUCACAAUGUCCUGCAAGGCAAAUAAUGGUCUUAGCAAUGUAUGCAUUAAGAUGCUUUUAUUAUCCCUGUUAAGUGGUCCUGUGGAGAUACUUUGCAAACUGAAAGCACAUCUGGGGGUGGCAGGGAUUAUAAUAGGUAAAGUUAGACCACCCAAGAAGAUGUUUUAAAAUGAUAUGGACAAACAGGUUUAACUGGGAUAUGGGCAUUUUUAAACGUAAUUAACUGCUACAUCUGUCAUGUAUAUUAAGGCUUCUUAAACCUUUCAAUUCAGGACCCCUUUUCGACACCGAGUAUAUAGUAUAUAAAAUAGGUAUAAAAAUCAAACAUUUACUGAUAACAAAUCAGCAUUUGCAAGGCUUUCUAAACAGACUGUUAUGAAGUACAUCUAAAGUAUCUGCAGAAGACACUGUAAACACUGCACAACACAUUCACUUAAAUGUCUAAAACUACCAGUAGGUGACAUACAGGGGGAAAAAAUCAGGACUCCUACAUUGAACUGAAAGGACCCUCACUAUUUACCCCUAGUUAAUACCUUUUUAUUUAGGGGGAUUAAUACUUUAGGUACAGUUUCUGGAGGGGUCAGUCUAGACAGCCUCUUUGCAUUUGAAGCCUCCGUCGCCCUGCCCCUUUAAGAAUCUCCUCGGGGCAGAGCCUUAGGCAAGGCAUUUCUGUUUCUUGGAAUAAUCAGCCUUUUUUGUGACUGGAAGGUGAAGAGGAAGGCUAGAAAGUCUACAAAAUACAGUCAUAGCUGUAUUCAAGUCCAGUCAGAGUUAAAUAUUGAGACCAUCUUAGAGACAGUUGAACACUAUACAAGAAAGAGACAAUAAGAAGAAAUAGAGAUUCAAGAGCCUCAGUUUGGCCAGAACUGUAUCUCCCAAAGACUUCACCUCUCAUAGUGAGACUCAGGAGGAGAGAAAGUCUAAAAUUCUUGCCAGUUAAUAAAUUCUUGUUUGAUUCAAUUAUAUAGCCUCCGAUCAGUUUCCUGUGCAGCCAAUUCACCUUCCAAGUAGUUAAGAUAGCAUGGGGACAGAACAGUACUAUUUUGACCCAUUUGGGGUUAGGAACCACAUUUUAAGAAGCAGUGAGCUAUAAGAGUCUGUUUCCAUAAAACCUCAUGUUGCAUAUUAGUACAGCAAUAGUAAAUACAGGCUAACAUGACAAGAAUAAGAUAUCUCAUUUUAGUUCUUUUGGAGCACCUAAGUCACACUCUUCUUGGCAUGCCAUCAUUCCUGUUCUCACAACACCAUUUCAGGUAAGCUAGCUACAACAUUCUGGUUGCUCAAGAUCAGCCUCUGGGCUUUUUGGCUUGCUUCAAAAGUGGAUGCUUCUACCCAUUUAGGAUUAGCUUGACUGGAAAAGUGGAAAAAAAUGUUACUUUGGUUAUUUUUCCUACUUCUCACCAAGUGCUACAAUGCAAAAUCAGCGAUGAUGAAAACAUCUCUAUGGACAAAGCUUUGCAAUCAGUUUCCCAUUCACAAAACUCACAGAAUAGAAACCUAUUUUAGGAAAGGUGUUAUGAUGUCAAGCAAGAUUAAAAUUCAGUCUUUAGAAAACAUUGGCAGUCAUGUUGGAGACUACACUUUAAAAAAAUAAGUGUUGCAUGUUCACAUUUACUAGAGAUUCUUGAGAACAAUCCCACUAGUUUGAUUUACAGCAAUAAACUAAACAUGUAUUUUCUCUACUCUCUGUAUAGAUUUCCAGUUCCAAAUGUAGUUACAUGAUCUGUUUGCUUAUAAAGAAGACCAUGGCCUUAACAAAAACUAUGAAAGAUGGUUUAUAGCUGGUUAAUCCUCUCAACGUGAACCAUCAGAAUAUUAUUGUAUUGUACAGAAAAAUCUACUCGUAUUUCUAGCUGACUGUCAUGGAAUUCAGGGAGGCUGUCUAUAAAUUAAAUAUACUACAGUACCAAUAAUUGGUACCAGCCAAUACAAACAAAUGGAAAUCUGAUUAAAUUUAUUUCAAAGGAGUGGCCAAUAAAGUGUUAUCUUUCUCUUAAAUAUGAGCUGCAUAUUUAACACAAGAUAGCGGCAAAGCAAACAACAGUGCUUUGGCCCUUUUUUGAGGAAAUAAUAAAUUUUCCCUGCAUGGUACCUUUGAUAACUCAAGGGGUUUGGGAUUGCAUACAAUAGAAAGGAUUCCACAUUUUUUUACUCUUGAUUAGUAGAAGUAUUAUCUGUAUGCAUGCAGUGUGUAUAUUUAAUUUAUAUGGGCAGCAUGGCCUAGAGGUUUGAGACUGACAAUGAUUCCUAAGGUUAGGGUUCCAAUACAAUAGUAGGAGAGUACUUUACCUCUGUGACACCUUUGCACUACAUCUAUUAAAUUAAUAAAUGCUGUAUGACUGACAAUAUUGUUGGGAGUGUUGAGUUCAUGGAGAGCGAUGACAAGGAAGGAAGACCACCUUACCUACAACACAGUUAACCAGACCAUAAGAAGGAAACUCAAGUAGGCAAAGCACCACUACAUUUACGAUGGAUCUACACUGCCAUAUACAAUCUCAUAUCCAGUUCAAAGCAGAUAAUGUGGAUUAUUUGCUUUGAUAAUAUGGAUUAUGUAGCAGUAUAGAUCCAGCUUUAGGAUGCAACUGAUAAUGGUUGGGGCUACCAUUAUCAGAUUUGAAAUCUAGAAACAGAAUAAUACAACAUUUCCUGCAACUAUUGGCCCUUCCAAAGGAUCCUCUUGUUGGAUACCAUCAAUUCAGUCCAUUCUUCUCUGAGAACUCUGUAAUUCUGGGGGGGGGGGGGGGGGGACAAGUAUUUGGCCAGUGUGGCCUAGCCAGGGGAGAUGGUAGAGGAUAUCACUAAGGCUGAUAUCCAUUUUAAACAUAGGUGUAUGUAUGUGUGUGAAAGUUUGUUUGUUUGUCAGUUUGUACCACACAUGCUAUUGCAAGGUGAAAUGCCCCUCCGUGAUGUCACUGGGAAAGAAAGUUGACAUAUGUAUGAGGGGAAGGGAGAAGGGAGGAAAUCAAGAGAAAAGAAAAAUAAGGAAAGGAGAAGGGAGGGGAGGGGGGAGUGUUAUAGUUCAGCCUAUUCAGCCCAUGGUUGUGCCUGCUUCCAAUGUCUAUGAGGAAGGAGAUCAUGGGAUUUCUGGGCCUGCGAGCGAACAUGAGAUUUUAAGUCUUGAAAAUUAGCAGUCUAUGUCUCCAGCAGUUAGUAAAGGUCACAUUCCAGAGAGGGGCCCAGAUGCUAAAGAUGAGUCAUUCUUCAGUGAAACAAGGUCAGAGGCUGAAAUGAGUUCAGAGGAUGAAAUCCCAGGUGGAGAGGAUAAUGAGCUGGUAGAUAGGAGACAGUUUUCGUAAACUCCGUGCCGUGCAACAGAAUUUCCAAAAACACUUGUUACAGAAAAGGCCGUUAUCAGGAAGUCAGGGGAAAAGGCAUGAUUUUCUGUGUAUAUUAAAGAGGCUGAGGGUUUUUGCCAGCCAGUCUAGUCAACUUUGGUAAUUGAGGCAGCAGCUCUUGCCAAGUCCUAAUCAAGCCUGCUAAGGAAAUUCUAGUUAAUGUCUUUGUUCCUGUUUCAAGCUUCCAAGUUUAAAGGAUUGUUCCUGAAAUUUUGUAUUGGAUUUAAUGCUACCUUGUAUUCCUAGUUCUUUUGUAUCCCUUUUCUUGAUGUCUUUUUGCUUUGGGGUCUUUGAAACCAGUCUUGUACCUUGAACCUUGUGGACUAUUUCCUACAUUUGGACUUUGAAGGGUUUUUUUUUACUAUUUUUGCUGAACUUCUUUUUAUAUAAUAUUCAAUAAAUUGCUUUGUUGAUUUA